UAGCCGUAAGUCGUAACAAGGUAGCCGUAAGUCGUAACAAGGUAACCGUAAGUCGUAACAAGGUAGCCGUAGAGUUUGAUCAUGGCUCAGGAAAGUAGUAACAAGGUAGCCGUAAGUCGUAACAAGGUAACCGUAGAGUUUGAUCAUGACUCAGGAAGUAAAGUCGUAACAAGGUAGCCGUAGAGUUUGAUCCUGGCUCAGCCUUCGACUUAAAAAAAUGGAGAAGUCGUAACAAGGUAACCGUAAGUCGUAACAUGGUAGCCGUAGAGUUUGAUCAUGGCUCAGGUGAAGUCGUAACAAGGUAACCGUAGAGUUUGAUCAUGGCUCAGGAAAGUCGUAACAA
rnacentral:rRNA from 1 species